UACGUAGGGUGCGAGCGUUAAUCGGAAUUACUGGGCGUAAAGCGUGCGCAGGCGGUUCGUUGUGUCCGUCGUGAAAGCCCCGGGCUUAACCUGGGAACUGCGAUGGAAACUAGCGAGCUGGAGUGUGGCAGAGGGGGGUGGAAUUCCGCGUGUAGCAGUGAAAUGCGUAGAGAUGUGGAGGAAUACCGAUGGCGAAGGCAGCCCCCUGGGAUAACACUGACGCUCAUGCACGAAAGCGUGGGGAGCAAACAGG
rnacentral:rRNA from 1 species